CGGAGCCCAAAAGGAAUACUAACACCCACCCUGCCUGCUUGCUCCCCUGUAUUUGUGUCUUGACCCCUCAGCUUCCAGCCUUAAUUCAUUCAGGUCCUUUUCUGGAGACAGAGCCUACUCUGCCUGAGCCAUACCUUUAUUGCUGCUCAAUUGCUGUCUUCAUCUAGUGACAGGUGGAAACUGGUGGCUAAAACCCCAUUCCUUUUUGUCCCAGGGAAAGCCCCAGGCUGAUGUUGUCAAGAAAUGGAGAAAUGCCCAGAAGAAGCCAGUGAGGGCUGCCUGCAGACGACACUCCCUACCCCCAUUUUCUACUGGGAGUCUGGCACCUUCAGCUUUCUCUUCCAGAUGCAUUCACGGUGACACUUUCCAGCCAACGGUCAGCAUUUGUUCCAGUGAUGAAUGAGCUUAGUCAGCCAACAGAUAUUUACUGAAUACCUACUAAGCUCCGUGAUUGUCUGUGUCGGGCAUACAAAAACCAGCAUUAGCUUUCCAUUUCGUAUAGCAUUUCUGGCCAGAGUUAGAUAUUUAACCAACGGACCGCAAACUGUGGUAACCACACUUUAAAUGGAGAAAGGAUACUCAUGCAUGCAUGGCAUGUUAGUAUGUGUUAGAGGGACCCCCAACUUUCAACACAAAUUCUUCUCCAGAUGACAUUUGUUCUAAGAGAGCCCUCUUUUAAGAUUUCCUUUAUUUUUAAGUACAUGUGAAUGGGCACGCACACGUAUGAGUCCAGGUGCCCACAGAGUUCAGAAGACAGUGUCGGAUUGUCGGGAGCUGGAGUUAUAGGUGAUGUGAGCUGUCCAAUGUGGAGGCAGGAAACUGAACUUCUGUUGUUCUAACCACUGAACCGUCUCACUGGGACAUAUUUCUUAUUUCUUGGGGGGUGCAUUUUUUUAAACAGCUGGGUUUUUCUUAGGAAGGGUUUAGGUAUUAGUGGAAUUUGUUGUGUGACCAGCUUGUUCAUGUCCUCUUAUACGUGCUCCAAGUUACUGCUGGAUGACCGUGUUCUGUGUCUCCAGAUCUGGCUAGAAUUUGAUAUGAUUGAGUGUAUGGCAGGGGGAAGCAAGCCUCCUUAGGGUCAUUUGGAACCUUUCAUUUCAUUUGUCCCUCCUUCUAGACAUUCUAAGCACCUGCCAGACAGUUUACUUACUGCUUAGCGAAUGAGCGUAGAGAGUAAGUAUAUUAGCCAGCUUUCUAUCACAAAAUACUGGAGAUAAUUCAGCUCAAAGAGAGGAAGGGUUUGAUCUGGCGUACAAUGUCAUAGGUUUUUGUUUGUUUGUUUGGUUUGGUUUGGUUUGAUCUGGCGUACAAUGUCAUAGGUUUUUGUUUGUUUGGUUUGGUUUGGUUUGUCCAAAGUCAGUUGGCACAAUGUUUUGGAGCCUGUCACAAGGUGUCAUGGUGAGGGUACAUAGCGGGGGAAGUUGUUGACUUCAUGGUACUUGGGAAGAGACCAGAGUCACAUUAUCUUUUUUCUAUAGCAUGAGCCCAAUGGCCCAGCUUCCUUCUCCUGCACCCCACCUCCUAAAGGUUCUAUUAUCUGCCUUCACUAAGAUACAAGUCUUUCAACAUAUGGGGUUCAGAGAGACUUUUUAGGUUCAAAUUGUAAUAGCUUUUUGCAGACAUUGUAGUGAAUACUAGUAUUUAUUCACUGGACAGUAUGUAUUCAGCAUCGGUCCCAUAGUAGUGCUGGGCCCUGGAGAUCAGGGGUCAAGAGAUAACCCUUGACUACAGUGUGUCAAGGAGUCUGGGGCUGGGGUGGAGCUCAGUAUAACCCCUUGCAGAGGAUGUUCAAGGUCUUAGGUCCCAUCCCUAGCACAGCAACACAAGACAGACAGACAGACAGACACAAAGCCAAAGGAGCGAACCCUACUGAGAUACAGAGGCAAGAACUUGAUAGCCCUGUGCUCAAGGAAAAGUUGUAGCAGAAGUGACAGUAAAGGAAGAGUGGGGUGAGAGUAGGGGUGCCAGUACCAGGACAAAACUGGAGAUAAUAAAAGGACCGUAGUGCCUUUAAGACCCCAGGGAAAUGAACUCAUGUAAAUGCUCUCUUCAUCGUCAACCUGACAAGAUUUUGGAAUCCCGAUGAAAACACACACAUAGGCGCCAGAUCUCAACAACGAGGAGAGGAGCUAAUUGCAAAUGUGUACCGGGAAUGCAAUUAAUAAAACUGUCACAGAAGAUUUUAAAAAGAGAGUAGAAAAUGUCCUGGUCGCAGCAUGGAAGGCAAUUGGAGAAGUUAAGUGGCGGGUGCUGCGUUGGUUUCCUGGGCCCUUCUGAGCAUUAGCGGGGGAGCAGACAUCUUGGGAUGGAGUUAGUAAUGGAAGAGAAAGAAGAGAUCAGAUAUGCACAUGAGGUCUGGCUUGCAGGACAGGCUGGAGGUGGGGAUAGCUUUGGGAAGCUGCAGCAGAGGUCCACAGGAUGGUGUAGUGCUAUCGAAGGAUAUCAAUUUAGAGAUGCUUGAGAGGAGGCUCAGUCAGGCUGAAAGCCUUCUCUUGGAUGAAGGGUAGAGGAUGUAGAAAGAGGCCCAAGGAAGCAGGAAGGGGUGGAGGUAGGAUUCUGACCCAUGCUUGCUUUUCUCACUUCCUGUCCCAGCACACAGAGCCCGAAUUUUCACAGGAAAAUAAUCAUGCACAUAACCAACACAGACAGUAUCUCCUUGAGGUCUAUCAGGCUGUGGAAUGGACACCUCACAGCAGUGGGACGGCUGGCUGCAGGAGUUAAGAGGCUCACAAAAUGUAAGUCAGUGAGAAGCAGAGCUCAUAUUCCAGCUCCAUUAAAGGACCAAGUCUACAGCCUUCGUCCUUCAUCCAUCAUCCUUCAUCGUUCAUCCUUCAUCCUUUAUCUUUCAGCCUUUCUGCCAGUGUAGGUCUUUCUAGAGUAGCAGUUCUCAACCUAUGGGUGGAGACCCCUUUGCAGGGGUCAAAUGACCCUUUCCCAGGGGUUGCCUAAGACCAUCAGAAAACACAGAUACUUACAUUAUGAUUCAUAACAGUUGCAAAGUUACAGUUAUGAAUCACGGUUGGGAGGGGCACCACAGCAUGAGGAAUUGUAUUAAAAGGUCAUGACAUUAAGAAGGUUGAGAACCAUUGCUCUAGGAGGACUGGCUGACUGCAACACUGAAGCUCCUGUAGAGCUCCCUCAACUAGAGUCCCCAGCCCCUCAGCCUCAGUCUCUGGGGACUGGCUUGGUAACCUGGCACUGCAGCGACCAGCUCAUCCUGGCUCCAUGUUCUUGAAAGAGCAGUCACUCCUCCAGGUUUGCAUUUUCGGGCUCCAACACAUUCCACAGACAGUGCUGCCCCUUUGUGGUGCCCCUCUUGGCAAUGAGGGAGGAAAGGGGACAGCAGUGAAGGAUGACUACCUUGAAGGAAUUUCUUGUCCCCCCCACUUCCAUAGGAUCCUUUGCUACCAUUCUGGAUGACAGACAUUCCACUGCCCAAAAUCACCCUAUCCCCUGUGUCAGGACAUAGGUGUAUGGUUGCAUGAUGGAUUGACAGGCUUCUUUGUGCUACGUUCCCAUAUCAUAAGGUCUGUUUGUUCAUACCCGAGUCAGUUCUCAUCUGUAAUUAAUAGCAGACCUACUGUGGCCAUGUGAAGCCCCCAUCAAGAAUUCUUUCUCUUUCUCCUUCCUUCUGGUCCUCUGUUCCUCCUUCCCUUCUCCUUCUCUUCCCUGUUCUCUUCUUUUGACUCUUUUUUUUUUUUUUUGGUUCUUUUUUUCGGAGCUGGGGACCGAACCCAGGGCCUUGCGCUUCCUAGGUAAGCGCUCUAUCACUGAGCUAAAUCCCCAGCCCCUUCUUUUGACUCUUUUGAGACAGGGCCUUGUGCUGCAUCCCAGGCUGGUCCAAACUUACCUUGCCCAUGUCUGCAUCUAUCAGCUGACCUGGGAUGUGGCCCGUGAGCAUGUGUAUAGGGUAUUUUCUUGAUUACUGAGGAAGGAGUGUCCAGUCCAAUAUGGACAGUACCAUUCCUGGGCAGGUGACCCAUCAGUGAAUAUGAAAGCAGACUCGGCAAGUCAUGGAGAGCAAACCAGUAAGCAGAGCUUCUCCAUGGUCUCUGCAUCAGCUCCUGCCUUGAGUUCCUUUUCUGACUUCCUUAGUGGUAGACCAUGAUGUGGAAGUGGAAGCCAAAUAAGCCCUUCCUUUCCAUUAAGUGGGUUUUGGUCAUGGUGUUUAUCACAGCAACAGAGAACUGUAACUAGGACAACGAUGUCCUACUUCUGAUGUUCAGGCUGCUUCUAAGAGACUCUGAUGGAAAUGUGUGGUGAUGCUCAUGGCAAAAUUCACCACCAGUGAGUCUAGCCUGUGGCCUGCUGGUAAGCACUAUGUUAUGCUUGGCUCGUGUCCUCUCGAUGGGGAUGAGGUUGUUACAGCUUUCAGGUGUCUUCCAGACUAGCAUGGAUGCAAUCCAGAAUCUCUGGAAUCCAGAAAACAGAACGGAGUUGACUCUGGAUGACUCCUGGAGCCUAUACCUAAUUAGAGGAGGUGUGACUGCCAAGACAAAGAUGCCCCUUGGUUUGGUCUAUGCCCACACUACCUGAGGACAGGGCUCACCUACAGCCUUGACUCUAUAUCCACAGGCAAAUGCCCUUCCUCCUUUUGAAGUCAGGACACCUCAUAACUUCUAUCAGUUCCUGUUGGCCAGAAUCAUCCUGCAGAAACAUUUUAGCUCGUGACUUAUGAUUGUAAGAGUCAGGUGAGAAGGGAGCUGAAUUCCCAAGAGGCUGCUGUGAAGCAGCACUGCUCAUUGCUGAGUGCUAGCCUCCUGUUCUCAGCGUUCCUGUCUUGAUCUUGUGAUCCGGCCAAGGAAAGAAACUGCAGUGGCCAUGAGGGAGAGGACCUGAACGCCAGCCCUGCCUCAGUGGUCAGUGAUGAGCACAAAUGCCCUUUCUUACUUGUUUGUACUCCCACUUAUCCAAGAGUUGUCUUUGUUGAGCUGUCCCACUUGUAUCUUGUGUAAUUGUGGAUGGUAAGGAAUUCAAUUGUGAUGUUCUUUGCACCGCCCACUUCGCUGAGAGAUAUAGAGCCACAGAGAGUAUAAGGACCUAGAAGACCUCUAACUGAGAGUCAGAAAGCCUGCUGGCCUCUGCUAGAAUCCUGCUCAACUGGACCUGUCUACCACCCUGGGUGUGACAAGUAGGGAUAUGCUUGUGAAUGUGCCUUUCUACUAUUUUAGAAUGUUUUCCUAGGGCACCAGUGCCCCAGAACCCCAGCUGUUCAGGGGGUAUAGCAUUCUGAGAUGGGCUCCAUAGAAUACCCUUCUGCUAUUGGAGUCUCUCCUCCUGACAGCUGUGAGGUUCAGCUGAUGAGGCUAAGAGAGGGUCCCAGAGGGAAUGGGAAGUGUCCAACUGGCCUGGACAUUUGUGUCCUCUGAAGCCCUUGAAUGAAUUCUUUUAACGGACUGGAUGGCUCUGCAUCUUCUAACUCCCUGACAUUUGCAGUUGGGAGCUCUACACCUGUAGACUCAGCUGGCUGCAGGCUGUUGGGGGAAGCUCCAGGGCUUACAUGGGUGAGUUGAACAUAGCCCUCAGUAGAUAACCAUUGAGUUUGUCUAUCGGUCCACUCUGGCUUUAAUUUUCCAGUUCCCUUUGGCUUGUGUCCUAUCAACUAAGGAACUCUAUGCUGCAAUUAACAGAAAACCUGACAGAGACGGAUGGAAAUAAAGGGCACAUCACUAUCUCAUAUAAUUGGAAGAUUAUAUGUGCUAGUUGGAGAGAUGCCAAGCUUGGGUAUUUCUUAGAUUAAUGACAUCACCAGGGACCUGUAUUCUUUGUGCUUCUCCCUCUGUCCUCUUUGAUAUUCAUUUCAUCAUUGCAGCUGUUUCAGGUGUCAUGUACUAAUGUGAUGACAUCAAAAGAAAGAGGGACAUCUCUGUCUGUGCCUUGCCCUUAAUAGGGAGACGUUUCCUUCCAUGUCUCACUGGGAUUACUGGAUUUGUCUAGAUUAAUCUUCUAUGGUGGAAUGGGUUUGGAGGAGUCAACCAGAGCCAAACACGGUUUCUAAUGAUAACUCUUUCUGUGUUUGACAGGUUGAGCUUCCUGAGUUCUUACUUGACCACCCACCUUUCUUUAGCAUUUUACCAUGGUCUUUCCUUUCUCCUUCCAGGUCCAUUGCAAACCCCACCAAAUUUAUCAUAGCUAGGUAGCUCACAUCUAGAUCCAACUGA